rnacentral:rRNA from 1 species
UCUGUAGCAAGGUUAACCGAAUAGGGGAGCCGAAGGGAAACCGAGUCUUAACUGGGCGUUAAGUUGCAGGGUAUAGACCCGAAACCCGGUGAUCUAGCCAUGGGCAGGUUGAAGGUUGGGUAACACUAACUGGAGGACCGAACCGACUAAUGUUGAAAAAUUAGCGGAUGACUUGUGGCUGGGGGUGAAAGGCCAAUCAAACCGGGAGAUAGCUGGUUCUCCCCGAAAGCUAUUUAGGUAGCGCCUCGUGAAUUCAUCUCCGGGGGUAGAGCACUGUUUCGGCAAGGGGGUCAUCCCGACUUACCAACCCGAUGCAAACUGCGAAUACCGGAGAAUGUUAUCACGGGAGACACACGGCGGGUGCUAACGUCCGUCGUGAAGAGGGAAACAACCCAGACCGCCAGCUAAGGUCCCAAAGUCAUGGUUAAGUGGGAAACGAUGUGGGAAGGCCCAGACAGCCAGGAUGUUGGCUUAGAAGCAGCCAUCAUUUAAAGAAAGCGUAAUAGCUCACUGGUCGAGUCGGCCUGCGCGGAAGAUGUAACGGGGCUAAACCAUGCACCGAAGCUGCGGCAGCGACGCUUAUGCGUUGUUGGGUAGGGGAGCGUUCUGUAAGCCUGUGAAGGUGUGCUGUGAGGCAUGCUGGAGGUAUCAGAAGUGCGAAUGCUGACAUAAGUAACGAUAAAGCGGGUGAAAAGCCCGCUCGCCGGAAGACCAAGGGUUCCUGUCCAACGUUAAUCGGGGCAGGGUGAGUCGACCCCUAAGGCGAGGCCGAAAGGCGUAGUCGAUGGGAAACAGGUUAAUAUUCCUGUACUUGGUGUUACUGCGAAGGGGGGACGGAGAAGGCUAUGUUGGCCGGGCGACGGUUGUCCCGGUUUAAGCGUGUAGGCUGGUUUUCCAGGCAAAUCCGGAAAAUCAAGGCUGAGGCGUGAUGACGAGGCACUACGGUGCUGAAGCAACAAAUGCCCUGCUUCCAGGAAAAGCCUCUAAGCAUCAGGUAACAUCAAAUCGUACCCCAAACCGACACAGGUGGUCAGGUAGAGAAUACCAAGGCGCUUGAGAGAACUCGGGUGAAGGAACUAGGCAAAAUGGUGCCGUAACUUCGGGAGAAGGCACGCUGAUAUGUAGGUGAAGUCCCUCGCGGAUGGAGCUGAAAUCAGUCGAAGAUACCAGCUGGCUGCAACUGUUUAUUAAAAACACAGCACUGUGCAAACACGAAAGUGGACGUAUACGGUGUGACGCCUGCCCGGUGCCGGAAGGUUAAUUGAUGGGGUCAGCGCAAGCGAAGCUCUUGAUCGAAGCCCCGGUAAACGGCGGCCGUAACUAUAACGGUCCUAAGGUAGCGAAAUUCCUUGUCGGGUAAGUUCCGACCUGCACGAAUGGCGUAAUGAUGGCCAGGCUGUCUCCACCCGAGACUCAGUGAAAUUGAACUCGCUGUGAAGAUGCAGUGUACCCGCGGCAAGACGGAAAGACCCCGUGAACCUUUACUAUAGCUUGACACUGAACAUUGAGCCUUGAUGUGUAGGAUAGGUGGGAGGCUUAGAAGUGUGGACGCCAGUCUGCAUGGAGCCGACCUUGAAAUACCACCCUUUAAUGUUUGAUGUUCUAACGUUGACCCGUAAUCCGGGUUGCGGACAGUGUCUGGUGGGUAGUUUGACUGGGGCGGUCUCCUCCUAAAGAGUAACGGAGGAGCACGAAGGUUGGCUAAUCCUGGUCGGACAUCAGGAGGUUAGUGCAAUGGCAUAAGCCAGCUUGACUGCGAGCGUGACGGCGCGAGCAGGUGCGAAAGCAGGUCAUAGUGAUCCGGUGGUUCUGAAUGGAAGGGCCAUCGCUCAACGGAUAAAAGGUACUCCGGGGAUAACAGGCUGAUACCGCCCAAGAGUUCAUAUCGACGGCGGUGUUUGGCACCUCGAUGUCGGCUCAUCACAUCCUGGGGCUGAAGUAGGUCCCAAGGGUAUGGCUGUUCGCCAUUUAAAGUGGUACGCGAGCUGGGUUUAGAACGUCGUGAGACAGUUCGGUCCCUAUCUGCCGUGGGCGCUGGAGAACUGAGGGGGGCUGCUCCUAGUACGAGAGGACCGGAGUGGACGCAUCACUGGUGUUCGGGUUGUCAUGCCAAUGGCACUGCCCGGUAGCUAAAUGCGGAAGAGAUAAGUGCUGAAAGCAUCUAAGCACGAAACUUGCC